CAGAGAGGUAUUGUCACUCCUGGCAUUGAGAGUUCAGUAUACUCGGGUGUAGGCUGAGACUUCCUUACGUGCCCCCGUGUAUGCGAUGCGUUGCUACUGGUAACUACUGGCCACCAGUGACCGUUACUGGUCAGGUAUCACAGGCUUUCGGACUGUUUGGUCCGAGCAUUCCACUGCUUAGCAGUUUUCCUAGCUGGUGAGCGUAGGCGGUGCUCUCUUCAUUGUUCUACUGACGGUCACCUCUUUCCUUGGCCUACACUGGUAUUUUAUUGCCAAGCUGUUUAACCUGACUUUUUUGGGAUUGGGUAAUCAUGGCUCGUUAAGUCUGCCUGGACUGAGAGGGUGUGGGAGAGGAUGAGCUUGGAAGGUGCUUCAUGUCUAAAGAAUUUGGGCCCAAUUGGUUUAAUUUGCCGCUGAGGUUGUAGUUGUGGGACUGCCGUUUGAUGAGAGAUCUUCAUCCUGAGCAUCUUUUAUAUAUGGGCCUAGGGGGUUUCUGGGUUGUCUUCUGAACCAAAACGAUUACUUUACCUGUGACUUUCAUUCGAUUUAACUUUCCCCACGCAGCAGUUUUCUUAGUAUCAGAAGUGCCUUCAUUUUCAAUGAACUUUUUGUUCCGUACUUACAAAAGGGAAUGUAACGUUUGCUUAAGAAACUGAGGACAGUUUGAUACAGUCAAAGCAAAGUAGUCCUAGCGAUUCUGAGUUUCUGUCUGUGGUUUAUUUCUGUUUCUGAAGACAAAAUUGUUUUCUGCUUCAGAAUUCCCUUUCCUUUCAUUUCAUUGUUUUCUACAACAUGAAACUUAGAUUACUAUUAAGAGAAGAGCAAACAGCCUUGCCUCGGUUAACAAAAAAUGACUUAAUGCUGCUGUGCAGAGCAACUUAAGUAGUAUUAAAAGCUGACAUAAAUUCUUUCUAAUGUCUUACUACGUUAUUCAGAAUUCUUAUUUUCCUCCUGCAUUUAAAUAUAUGUAUUUUUUAAUGUGCUCAAUAAGAGGGAAAACAAACCCGAAAACAGUGUAUGUUUGCAAAUCCUCAAACGUUUGUUCUUAAAUCUCCCUCAAAAAUAAAGAUUUGACCUAAUUUUUUGGUAAUGUCUAAAAUCUUGGCUAAGUAUCAAUGACUUUUGCUUUGUGUGUACUGUAUUAAAAUGUCCUAUUGAUGAUGUGUAGCAUUUUAAUUUUUUUCAUCCAUGCCUAACUUUGCUCUUCUAUGUCAACGUUUUAUCUUCAUACUGCAGAAGUUGUGUUGCCAAAAAUGGAUGAAAUGGAGAAGGUCCAUAGAUGCCAAAUCCUGAAUUUGGAAGACGUUGAGAUAUCUUUUAAGAGUGGAGGAAGUAUCUUCUGCAGAAGACGUGAGAUAACAGGGAGAUGCUGGAAUGCAUGUCUUCUAUUCCAGUUUCUGAAUUGCCUUCUGCUUUUUGAAUGGACACUGUUUACAAACAGCUGUUUUGGACUUGGGUUUUUACUCCAAAUCUUACUAAAACCUCCGACUGGGGGACUGAGUAUGCCAAAAGACUGGUGCUUUCCAUCACCUUGGCAGUUUAAGCUGUUUAUCUUUUUAUCCUUAGCUCCUAAAUCAUAUUUCUCAUCCUGCUCAGGAACACAUUUCCUUGGAAAGCUUAACAAAAGUUAGUGCAUAGCUGCCUGUGUUUGUCACUCACUCGAAUUUUGAUUCCUGUUAACAUGUUUUUUUUUCUUGAUAGCUCACAAAGAAUCUCCAGUAUCAUUGGUGAGCAAUUGGCUGACGGGCAGGGCUCAAAGGGUUGUGGUAAAUGGGGCCACUUCAGGCUGGCAGAUGGUCACCAGUGGGGUCCCCCAAGGCUCCAUUUUAGGGCCAGUCCUCUUCAUUGCUUUUGUAAAUGAUUUGGAUGUAGGACUAGAAGGUGUUUUGAGCAACUUUGCCAAUGACACUAAACUCGAAGGAGUUGUGGACUCUGUUGAGGGUGGAAAGGCCUUGCAGAGAGAUCUGGACAGAUUGGAGAGCUGGGCGAUCACCAGCCGCAUGAAGU